GGGGGUGUACCGGUUUCGACGGGGGCAGUGAGGCAGGAAUAGCGGGCUGUGGCACCUGACCACAAUAAAACGGGUAACUUUUUACAAUUAACUGACAACAAUAAGUUAGCACUGGCAGCCUAAUCAGGCAGCCCAUCCGCCCCGGACGGUCCACGAGCCGGGCUCGGGUGUGAUUUAAGUGGAGCCCGUGCGCACGGUAAGCUUUGCCCGUGCCAUGCAUCAUGAAGCUACUGAAUCCGUGAGGGUGUCUGUUCCCGCGCGGAUGAGGGAAUGUAAAUAACCGACUGCGCCCGGAGAGGUUCCUGUCAAGCUGUUUUCGGACGGGGGUUCAACUCCCCCCACCUCCACCA
rnacentral:tmRNA from 1 species